CCAAUACUGAUAGGAAGAUGAGAAAGGCUGGUCCCUUUGUGUCAAGAGUCUAUUUCUUAUGAUCAUUCCUGGUACCAACUAUCUUCAACUGAGUUCCCUUAGAAACAGACUUUGGAAAUGAAAUGUUGCAUGCAGAAGACUUUUUGAGAAAUGUUCUUAGAAAAGACACCUGUCAGGAAGUGAAAAAGGUAGGAUUGAACAGAAGGAGAAGCCUAUCAAGGUAGCUUGGUCCCAGAUGCAGAUUGGGUCAUGGGGGAACAGACCAGGCAUACGAAUGGACC